rnacentral:rRNA from 1 species
CCUACGGGAGGCAGCAGUAAGGAAUAUUGCUCAAUGGGCGCAACCCUGAAGCAGCAACGCAGCGUUGAGGAUGAAUGUUUUAAGAUUGGAAACUCCUUUUGAUAAAGAAGUAAAGUACGGUAUCUAACCAAUAAUCACCGUCUAACACCAUGCCAGCAGCCGCGGUAAUACGGAGGGUGCAACCGUUACUCGGAAUCACUGGGCGUAAAGCGGGCGUAGGUGGGAUAUCAAGUCAGUUGUGAAAGCCUAUGGCUUAACCAUAGAAUUGCAAUGGAAACUGUUAUUCUUGAGUAGGUGAGAGGUAGGUGGAAUUCGUGGUGUAGCGGUGAAAUCCGUAGAGAUCACGAGGAACACUGAUUGCGAAGGCGACCUGCUAGAACAUCACUGACGCUGAUGCGCGAAAGCGUGGGGAGCAAACAGGAUUAGAUACCCGGGUAGUC